GAUGAACGCUGGCGGCGUGCCUAAUACAUGCAAGUCGAGCGAACAGACGAGGAGCUUGCUCCUCUGACGUUAGCGGCGGACGGGGGAGUAACACGUGGAUAACCUACCUAUAAGACUGGGAUAACUUCGGGAAACCGGAGCUAAUACCGGAUAAUAUAUUGAACCGCAUGGUUCAAUAGUUAAAGACGGUUUUGCUUUCACUUAUAGAUGGAUCCGCGCCGCAUUAGCUAGUUGGUAAGGUAACGGCUUACCAAGGCAACGAUGCGUAGCCGACCUGAGAGGGUGAUCGGCCACACUGGAACUGAGACACGGUCCAGACUCCUACGGGAGGCAGCAGUAGGGAAUCUUCCGCAAUGGGCGAAAGCCUGACGGAGCAACGCCGCGUGAGUGAUGAAGGUCUUCGGAUCGUAAAACUCUGUUAUUAGGGAAGAACAAAUGUGUAAGUAACUAUGCACGUAUUGACGGUACCUAAUCAGAAAGCCACGGCUAACUACGUG
rnacentral:rRNA from 1 species